rnacentral:rRNA from 1 species
GUCCACGCCCUAAACGAUGCGAACUAGGUGUUGGGGAAGGAGACUUUCUUAGUACCGCAGCUAACGCGUGAAGUUCGCCGCCUGGGGAGUACGGUCGCAAGAUUAAAACUCAAAGGAAUUGACGGGACCCGCACAAGCGGUGGAUGAUGUGGAUUAAUUCGAUGCAACGCGAAAACCUUACCUACCCUUGACAUGCCAGGAACUUGGUAGAGAUACCUUGGUGCCCGAAAGGGAGCCUGGACACAGGUGCUGCAUGGCUGUCGU